UCCCUGGUAGCUCAGUUGGUAAAGUAUCUGCCUGCAAUGCAGGAGACCCAGGUUCGAUUUCUGGGUUGGGAA